UCUGCUGCUGCAACUGCUAGCUGGAUGAAAAAGAGACCAAAAACUCCCUCCCAAGAGGAUAUGCAGAGCUAUAUACCACAGAUGAAGACACAGAAGCACAGAAAGGUUACAUAACUUGCCGAAGGUCUCACUGCCAAUCAGUGAUGAUGAUGAAAGAAGCCCUCCUUAAUCCUCAGAGCUUUAUCAUAUCCUGUAUUCUAAAAGCAUUCUUCUUUGAAUCCUCCUUGGACCCAUCUUUGCCAUCCUGCUGGUUCCCUCUUUAAUGACUUGAAUAUACCUUUGAUUCACUCUAUAUUUGUAUAAGAAUUAUGUUUUUAACUAUUUAGGUUUUAUAUUUUGACAUCUUUAAAUA